AUGUGUAACAAAAUGGCUACAAAUAAAUGGAGAAGCACAUCAUCCAACCUGGUGGAGAAUGAAGGCUCCUCAUGUGAAGAAUGUCAGAGAACACUACCUGCUUUAAAAGACACCAGAGAUAGAGAAGAAGAGGGAGAAUCUCAAGCAAGCUCUGUGUUCAGCAUGGAGUCUGACACAGGGCUCAGUUUCACGACCCUGAGAUCAUGACAUGAUUCAAAAUCAAGAAUUGGAUGUUCGACCAACUGAGCCGCCCAGGCACCCCUUUUCAUGCAUAUUUCUGAAACCAAAGGUCCACUUACUAAAAUUGAUUCAUUUAAAAAUAUAUUCUCUAUUGGGAUUUUAAGGGGCCUCAUAGAUAACAAAUCUUCUCCCAAUAGUUCAGAGCCAGUUGAGAUAGACAAAUAGGAACAGACAGAAAUCAAAAUGUUAGAGAAGGAUCUUAGAGACCCGGGUUCAGUUUCAGGACAAUAACAGAAUUCCUAAUACUCGUGGAAACACAGAAGCACAGGUGUCCUUCACACCCAGCAGUGUGCAGGCAUAUGCCCCUGCAGCAGCACAACUCAGUUCAGGAGAUCGGUGUCCCGCAGGCAGACCAGAGGGGACAGGCAGGCGGGACGCUGUACGCUGAUUCCUCUGCCAACAAAACCCAUCAGGUGACUCUCUCCUCUUCUACAGAUGAAGAGACUUACAUGGAAACAGGAAGAGAGAAUAAAGAGUAGUCCAGACCCCA
rnacentral:lncRNA from 1 species